rnacentral:rRNA from 1 species
GAUCAAGUGUCUUAAGGGCAAUUGGUGGAUGCCUUGGCAUGCACAGGCGAUGAAGGACGUGAUACGCUGCGAUAAGCGUCGGGGAGGUGCGAAUACCCUUUGAUCCGAUGAUUUCCGAAUGGGGAAACCCACCUAAGGUACUUGGAAAAUCAGGCGCGCCAACGGCGCGCGGCAAUCGGCAAUCGGCAGUAGGCAAUCGGGUUUAAAACCGACUGCCGACUGCCUAAGCCCGACUGCCUUGCGUCGCAGACGCGCCCGGUUUCCAAGUAUCGCAAUUAGGUAUCUUCACCUGAAUACAUAGGGUGAAAGAAGCGAACGCGGGGAACUGAAACAUCUAAGUACCCGUAGGAAAGGACAUCAACAGAGACUCCGGAAGUAGUGGCGAGCGAACCCGGACCAGGCCAGCGGCUUUUGCGAGACAAGCGGAACGAUCUGGAAAGUUCGGCCGUAGCGGGUGACAGCCCCGUACGCGUAAUGCGAGCAGAAGUCCUUGAGUAAGGCGGGACACGUGAAAUCCUGUCUGAACAUGGGGAGACCACUCUCCAAGCCUAAGUACUCGUGCAUGACCGAUAGCGAACUAGUACCGUGAGGGAAAGGUGAAAAGCACCCCGACAAGGGGAGUGAAAGAGUACCUGAAACCGGUUGCCUACAAACAGAUGGAGCCUGCAAGGGUGACAUCGUACCUUUUGUAUAAUGGGUCAGCGACUUAGUGUGACGAGCAAGCUUAAACCGGUAGGUGUAGGCGCAGCGAAAGCGAGUCUGAACAGGGCGUUCAGUUCGUCGCAUUAGACCCGAAACCGAGUGAUCUAGCCAUGAGCAGGUUGAAGGUAAGGUAACACUUACUGGAGGACCGAACCCAUAACUGUUGCAAUAGUUCGGGAUGACUUGUGGCUAGGGGUGAAAGGCCAAUCAAACUCGGAAAUAGCUGGUUCUCCGCGAAAUCUAUUUAGGUAGAGCGUCGACCGAAUACCCUGGGGGGUAAAGCACUGCAUGGGCUAGGGGUCCUUACCGGAUUACCAAACCUAAGCAAACUCUGAAUACCCAGGAGUACUAGUCGGCAGACACACGGCGGGUGCUAACGUCCGUCGUGAAAAGGGAAACAACCCUGACCGACAGCUAAGGUCCCCAAGUUAUGGCUAAGUGGGAAAGGAUGUGAGGAUCCCAAAACAACCAGGAUGUUGGCUUAGAAGCAGCCAUCAUUUAAAGAAAGCGUAACAGCUCACUGGUCUAAAUAAGGGUCUUUGCGCCGAAAAUGUAACGGGGCUCAAGCCAUACACCGAAGCUUUGGGUGCAUCGCAAGAUGCGCGGUAGCGGAGCGUUCUGUAAGCCUGCGAAGGAAGACCCGUGAGGGCUUCUGGAGGUAUCAGAAGUGCGAAUGCUGACAUGAGUAACGUAAGGGGUGUGAGAGACACCCCCGCCGAAAGUCCAAGGGUUCCUGCUUAAAGUUAAUCUGAGCAGGGUUAGCCGGUCCCUAAGGCGAGGCCGAAAGGCGUAGUCGAUGGGAAUCACGUUAAUAUUCGUGAGCCUGUGGGUAGUGACGGAUCGCAUAAGUUGUCCAAUCUUAUCGGAUUGAACGGGCAGCGAAGCGGUUCCAGGAAAUAGCUCCCACUUAUAGUCCGUACCCGAAACCGACACUGGUGGACUGGUAGAGUAUACCAAGGCGCUUGAGAGAACUAUGCUGAAGGAACUCGGCAAAUUGCACGCGUAACUUCGGAAGAAGCGUGACCCCACGCCACGCAAGUGAUGUGGGGUGGCACAGACCAGGGGGUAGCGACUGUUUAUCAAAAACACAGGGCUCUGCGAAGUCGCAAGACGACGUAUAGGGUCUGACGCCUGCCCGGUGCUGGAAGGUUAAGAGGAGAGGUGCAAGCUUUGAAUCGAAGCCCCA